rnacentral:sRNA from 1 species
CGGGUCGCCGCGUGCCGG